UUUGUUGAGAGUUUCGAUCCUGGCUCAGGACGAACGCCAAGUGGCGUGCUUAACACAUGCAAGUCGAGCGGGUGCGUUCUUCGGGGUGCCUGAAAGCGGCGAACGGGUGAAAGUAACACGUGAGCAACCUGCCUCUAGGUUUUGGAUAACCCCGGGGAAACCGGGGCUAUCAUCGAAUAGGACCACUGGUCGCAUGUCCGGUGGUGGAAAGCUGGCCUGGGAUGGCCUGCUGCGGCCUAUCAGCUUGUUGGUGGGGUGGAUGGCUCAUCAUGCCAAUGGACAGUCAUCGAGCAGGCACUCAUCAAAGCACUGGACUCGAGAAUGGCCCUGGACUCGAAUGGAGUGCAGUGGAAUAUCGCACACAGAAGCCUGAUGCUAAUGCAGUGGUUGAUGUCUGGAAACCAAACCCUUUCAGAAGGUGUAGACAGCGGAGACGGGUACCAUGAAGAAGCUGCUGGCCAAUCACAGCAGCCAAAAAAAAAAAAAAAAAAAAAGACCAGCAGCGUCCUGGAUUAGCUGGGAAGUGUCUUCCUGUAGUAUUAUCAAAAGUCGAAUGAAAACCCAGCUGAACCGCGGGCCUGACAGCCAAAAUAAGAGUCUGGUAGGGGUAAUAAAUUCCCGGUGCGGCGGUGAAAUGAUAUCAGAGUACCAUCGGGGUGGCAGCGCGGUCUCGGUAAAUGAUACUAAUUUUUUCAUAGAGUUAAAGCGGCUAAAUGGUAUCGACGCGGCCUGCAGUCCACGCCAAACGUUGGGCGCUAGGUGUGGGGGCCUCUCCGGUUCCCUGUGCCGCAGCUAACGCAUUAAGCGCCCCGCCUGGGGAGUACGGCCGCGCCAAAACUCAAAGGAAUUGACGGGGGCCCGCACAAGCGGCGGAGCAUGCGUGAUUAAUUCGGAUGCAACGCGAAGAACCUUACCUGGGUUUGACAUGGCCGCAAAAACCGGCAGAGAUGUCGGGUCCUUCGGGGGCGGUCACAGGUGCGCUACGGCUGUCGUCAGCUCGUGUCGUGAGAUGUUGGUUAGAACCAACGAGCGCAACCCCUCGUCUGAUGUUGCCAGCGCGCGUUAUGGCGGGGACUCAUCGAAGACUGCCGGGUCAACUUCGAGGAAGGUGGGGAUGACGUGCGUCAAGUCAUCAUGCCCCUUUAUGUCCAGGGCUUCACGCAUGCUACAAUGGCCGGUACAAUGGGCUGCGAUACCGUGAGGUGGGAGCGAAUCCCAAAAAGCCGGUCUCAGUUCUUGAUCAAGUCUGCAACUCGACCCCGUGAAGUCGGAGUCGCUAGUAAUCGCAGAUCAGCAACGCUGCGGUGAAUACGUUCCUCCCGGGCCUUGUACACACCGCCCGUCACGUCACGAAAAGUCCGGAAAAAUGCCCUUGCGCCGGUGGCCCAACCCCUUGUGGGAGGGAGCCGUCGAAGGUGGGGCCGGCGAUUGGGACGAAGUCGUAACAAGGUAGCCGUACCGGAAGGUGCGGCUUGAUCACCUCCUUU
rnacentral:rRNA from 1 species